AACGAACGCUGGCGGCAGGCCUAACACAUGCAAGUCGAGCGCGCCCUUCGGGGUGAGCGGCGGACGGGUGAGUAACGCGUGGGAACGUGCCCUUUUCUACGGAAUAGCCUCGGGAAACUGAGAGUAAUACCGUAUACGCCCUUUGGGGGAAAGAUCUAUCGGAAAAGGAUCGGCCCGCGUUGGAUUAGGUAGUUGGUGGGGUAAUGGCCUACCAAGCCGACGAUCCAUAGCUGGUUUGAGAGGAUGAUCAGCCACACUGGGACUGAGACACGGCCCAGACUCCUACGGGAGGCAGCAGUGGGGAAUCUUAGACAAUGGGGGCAACCCUGAUCUAGCCAUGCCGCGUGAGUGAUGAAGGCCUUAGGGUUGUAAAGCUCUUUCAGCUGGGAAGAUAAUGACGGUACCAGCAGAAGAAGCCCCGGCUAACUCCGUG
rnacentral:rRNA from 1 species